UGUGCCUAUGAUGGCGUUAAAUAUACUUUGAGAGUUCAUCUAUGAAACGAAUUUAAUCUGAGGCA